GACGAACGCUGGCGGCGUGCUUAACACAUGCCAGUCGAACGGAAAGGCCCUGCUUUUGUGGGGUGCUCGAGUGGCGAACGGGUGAGUAACACGUGAGUAACCUGCCCUUGACUUUGGGAUAACUUCAGGAAACUGGGGCUAAUACCGGAUAGGAGCUCCUGCUGCAUGGUGGGGGUUGGAAAGUUUCGGCGGUUGGGGAUGGACUCGCGGGUUAUCAGCUUGUUGGUGGGGUAGUGGCUUACCAAGGCUUUGACGGGUAGCCGGCCUGGGAGGGUGACCGGCCACAUUGGGACUGAGAUACGGCCCAGACUCCUACGGGAGGCAGCAGGGGGGAACAUUGCACAAUGGGCGGAAGCCUGAUGCAGCAACGCCGCGUGCGGGAUGACGGCCUUCGGGUUGUAAACCGCUUUCGCCUGUGACGAAGCGUGAGUGACGGUAAUGGGUAAAGAAGCACCGGCUAACUACGUG
rnacentral:rRNA from 1 species